AACCCUAGACAGUCAACAGUCAGUCAAAGCAGUGGAUGGUGGCCAUUCUUGUGGAAUUUGGACACCAUGCUCAUUAAUCAAGAGUUCAUAUGUCUUGGUACAUCAUUUGAAGUCAAGUUCUCAAGGAAUUAGGGUUUGGAAUUCAUCAGAAGAGGUUCAGUCAGCCAGAAACCCUAAAAGUCAACUGUUGGUCAACUGUCCAUUUAAUCAGUGN
rnacentral:lncRNA from 1 species